UUUAAGAAAUUCGGCCUUUAUAAUUCGUAAAUCGUGGUAUUUCAUGUCGAUAUCCAUUUAGUAAAUUGAAAAGCUGUUUAGAACGUUACGAUCCAGCACGUUACUAAAAUGGUUAAGUAGACUCUUUGUAAAGUUAGUUUUCGCUUUUUACGAGCUCGCGUGACACGUGUGACGUAAAAUGAGACCAGGGAAUUCCCACUGCAAGUUUACACAAGUUACGUAGAUUAAAGGAGGAGAUGAACAGAGUCCAACAGCAGAGCAUCCAUUGAAGCUACGACAUGACAGCUUGUUGAAUCACAUGAAUGCUGAAAUGUAGCAGUUACACCAAACACAGAAAAAAAGAAAGAAGAAGAAAAAGGAAAUUACUUUUCUCAACACGAAGAUAAGAUGAAAGACGUCUGCUAUCUAUCUAUAGUCUGUUCCAUCCUCCUACAAAAAUGUUUCUUGUAAAUAAUUUCAGUUUUGUUUCCCAUAAGAAAAAAAGUAAAAGUGUUAUGGAAAUAAAUAAAAAAAACUA